rnacentral:misc_RNA from 1 species
AACGCACCUUGCGCUCCUUGGUAUUCCGAGGAGCAUGCCUGUUUGAGUGUCAUGAAAUUCUCAACCUUUCUAGUUUUUUGGCUAGUCAGGCUUGGACUUUGGAAGUUGCUGGCUCAACCCGAAUCAGCUCUUCUUAAAUACAUUAGCAAAGACAUUUGCUGACCAUCUUUGGUAUGAUAAUUAUCUAUAUCAUUGAUAACCAGCUCCCUUCACGGGGAGGUCUUGCUUCUAGCAGUCUUUAUAAGACAAUUUGACAACUUUGACCUCAAAUCAGGUAGGACUACCCGCUGAACUUAA